GGGAUUGAAACCUGAUGUUUAAUGUAAUUUUAAAUAUACCUUUAUUUUACGAGGCAAGUCAGUUAAGAACAAAUUCUCAUAAUCAAUGACAGCCUAGGAACAGUGGGUUAACUGCCUAUUCAGGGGCAGAACAACAAAUUUGUACCUUGUCAGCUCGGGGAUUCAAACUUGCAACCUUUCGGUUACUAGUCCGACACUCUAACCACUAGUCUACCCUGCCGAUGUGUAGGACAAAGACAAAACAAAUGGAAAAUGAAAAGUGGACCAGCGAUGGCUUGAAGGCCGGUGCUGGAUCUUCUCUCAAAAUAUUUUACAUACUGAUAGCUGACAAUGCGUGAUGACAAUUUCACCAAAUGUUUAAAAAAAAUCUUACCUAAUGCAGCUUUAACAUGAAAGCUUACUUAAAUUAGAUAAUCUAUUUCCAUCUUUGAAUCUGAGGCCGGCAUUAGCGUUGUAUGUUAGUAAAAUCAAAUCUUAAACUACUCAUCUUGCUAAGUGUAAAAAAAGAAUGUUGAACAAUGUUAUUACUGAUAAACUGCACAUUUCAUGGAACAAGCGGUUCCUAAAUGAUGUUGACUUACUGGUCAUUAUUUGUAGUUGAUCGGUAUAUAUGACAUGGUGUUUUGUAUUCACAUUGUUCACUUUGGCCUGCUAUUGUUUUUGUUUUCACGUGGUGGACGUUGACCUGCCCUGCUGAUACUGUGUAAUGUGUUCAGGUGAGUGACUCAACACAGGUUUCUCUAGCUAGCUCUGCUGAUACUGUGUAAUAUGUGUUCAGGUGAGUGACUAAACACAGGUUUCUCUAGCUAGCUCUGCUGAUCCUGUGUAAUAUGUGUUCAGGUGAGUGACUAAACACAGGUUUCUCUAGCUAGCUCUGCUGAUCCUGUGUAAUAUGUUCAGGUGAGUGACUAAACACAGGUUUCUCUAGCUAGCUCUGCUGAUCCUGUGUAAUAUGUGUUCAGGUGAGUGACUAAACACAGGUUUCUCUAGCUAGCUCUGCUGAUCCUGUGUAAUAUGUGUUCAGGUGAGUGACUAAACACAGGUUUCUCUAGCUAGCUCUGCUGAUCCUGUGUAAUAUGUGUUCAGGUCAGUGACUAAAC
ensembl:lncRNA